CCAUGUCAUUACAAAUGCCAAGAGAUAGGUUUUACCUUCCUAUGAUAGUCAUAUCAUCAAAAGAAACUUUAUUUAGAUGACUGCAAUAUCAUUUUUUAAAAGAUUUAUUUAUUUAUUUAUUUAUUUAUUUAUUUAUUUAUUUAUUUAAGAGAGAGCCUGAAAGCACAAAGCAGGGGAAUGGCAGAGGGAGAGGGUGGAUGUGAGGCUCCAUCCCAGGACCACAGGACCAUGCCCUGAGCCGAAGGCUGGUGCUUAACUGACUGAGCCACCCAGUCAAGGAAGCCAAACUGAUAUAUGAUUCAGUUGGGGAAGAAGGACACAAUGACCCAUUAAUAGUGGACAUGAUUGUCAUUCUGCAGAAUGCUGCCUGGAGCUAGCCCACAAUCAGAAUUGCCACUGAUUUCAGAAGAAACUUUGUACAAGAAAAAAAAAAUGAAUUCAGAAUUAUUUCAUCAUUGAUCCCCAUGAUUUGAGUAAGAACUUAAUGUAUGUGGCUUCAAUGGGAAAGUUACUGAAAAUAUUUUGACAAUGCCCAGUGUUAUAAAAAAAAAUGUAUUAGGGAUUACAACAUCUAACAUUUGCAGGAUACUUUACAGCACUUCUUCUCUUAUAUAAUAGAUGUGAGCACAAGAAAUAGAACCUCACUUAUGAACAUGUACUGAGUAAUAGAGCAAGUAUAUAAUAUAGUGUAAGCUACUCUAACCCUGUAAGAUUGGGAAAGAAUAAAACCAUUGUCAACAUUUAUAUAGCCACUCUGUUUUUGUUCCACUAGUACAGAUGAUUUAAGAUGAUUUUUUGAAAAUCUCAAUGACAUUGAAAAGCAAUCUGUCUGAGCGGCAGGUGAUCUGGUGGACCUAAGCUUUGGCAGAGAGGGAGACCUUCUCCUGUUCUGGGGCAUAUAUUUGAAUCUGUUAACAAAUACAGGAGUGUUUGACUCUUAGUGAGGUAUGUUCGGAGACUUGGGGAAUUUGGAGGUUGAGAAAGAAAGGAAAAGAGAGAAGAUUGGGAGAAAGAAUCUGGAAGAACAGUGCAGAAGGCACGGCUUCUCACUGCUCUACCUCUACUCUACCCCAACACACUGGGUCCUGUGCACUCAUUAGAUCCCUGCAAAAAGAAGUGUUAGAAUCAGAAGCUGAAACUUUCUCGUGAUACUUUGUUGGACUGAGCACAUAUCAGUGCUGUUUUGAGACCCAGGUAGGAAAGGACAGAGUGGAAUGGGGGCAUUAUCUUAAUUGCUGGGUGGGUGGAUCAAAUCACACCUACCAAGUGCCUUGUAGGAUUGGAGCAGCAGAAAAGCAGAAUUUACAUGGAAGGUCCUAGCUACAGGGUGGGCGCCUCCUUCAAACAGAUUUUGAACAAGAAACUUCCACCAGGAAACUAUAAUAGAAUCAUUUCUGCUGGUACUAUUAUCACACCAAAUUAAAACUUACUUAAAAUGAUGUAGCACAGGGGCACCCGCCUGACUCAGUCAGUGGAGCAUGCAGCUCUUGUGGGGUUGUGAGUUCAUGGAGUAUGGAGAUUACUUAGAAAGAAUCUUAAAAAGAAAUUAUACAAAAAAAAA
rnacentral:lncRNA from 1 species